CCUACGGGAGGCAGCAGUGAGGAAUAUUGCUCAAUGGGGGAAACCCUGAAGCAGCAACGCCGCGUGGAGGAUGAAUGUUUUCGGAUUUUAAACUCCUUUUGUUAGAGAAGAUAAUUACGGUAUCUAACGAAUAAGCACCGGCUAACUCCGUGCCAGCAGCCGCGGUAAUACGGAGGGUGCAAGCGUUACUCGGAAUCACUGGGCGUAAAGAGCGCGUAGGCGGGAUAGCAAGUCAGAUGUGAAAUCCUAUGGCUUAACCAUAGAACUGCAUUUGAAACUGUUAUUCUAGAGUAUGGGAGAGGUAGGUGGAAUUCUUGGUGUAGGGGUAAAAUCCGUAGAGAUCAAGAGGAAUACUCAUUGCGAAGGCGACCUGCUAGAACAUAACUGACGCUGAUGCGCGAAAGCGUGGGGAGCAAACAGGAUUAGAUACCCCGGUAGUC
rnacentral:rRNA from 1 species